UAUUAUGAGAGUUUGAUCCUGGCUCAGGACGAACGCUGGCGGCGUGCCUAAUACAUGCAAGUCGAACGCUUCUUUCCUCCCGAGUGCUUGCACUCAAUUGGAAAGAGGAGUGGCGGACGGGUGAGUAACACGUGGGUAACCUACCCAUCAGAGGGGGAUAACACUUGGAAACAGGUGCUAAUACCGCAUAACAGUUUAUGCCGCAUGGCAUAAGAGUGAAAGGCGCUUUCGGGUGUCGCUGAUGGAUGGACCCGCGGUGCAUUAGCUAGUUGGUGAGGUAACGGCUCACCAAGGCCACGAUGCAUAGCCGACCUGAGAGGGUGAUCGGCCACACUGGGACUGAGACACGGCCCAGACUCCUACGGGAGGCAGCAGUAGGGAAUCUUCGGCAAUGGACGAAAGUCUGACCGAGCAACGCCGCGUGAGUGAAGAAGGUUUUCGGAUCGUAAAACUCUGUUGUUAGAGAAGAACAAGGACGUUAGUAACUGAACGUCCCCUGACGGUAUCUAA
rnacentral:rRNA from 1 species